AUGGCUUCUAAGUUUUUUAUUGAGCCACCCUCUAUAAACUAUAAUGUCCACUAUAUUAUUCACAAUUCUAUCUCUAUUAACAACAUUUCUAAAGACUAUAUCAUUUCUAUAUUUCUAUAUGUGGUAAAUUGUCUCUGCAGCUAUUUUCAUGAGAUCUACUUUCCAACCUUUUUCUUUCACCUUUCCACAAAUCCAUUGCAAUUCUUCAUUUCAUUAUUUUGA